AUAUUGGACAAUGGGCGAAAGCCUGAUCCAGCCAUGCCGCGUGAGUGAAGAAGGCCCUAGGGUUGUAAAGCUCUUUCAGCGGGGACGAUAAUGACGGUACCCGCAGAAGAAGCCCCGGCUAACUUCGUGCCAGCAGCCGCGGUAAUACGAAGGGGGCUAGCGUUGUUCGGAAUCACUGGGCGUAAAGCGCGCGCAGGCGGGUGUGCAAGUCGGAAGUGAAAUCCCGAGGCUCAACUUUGGGGCUGCUUCCGAAACUGCAUGUCUGGAGACCGGUAGAGGUGGGUGGAAUUCCCGGUGUAGCGGUGGAAUGCGUAGAGAUCGGGAAGAACACCUGUGGCGAAGGCGGCCCACUGGGCCGGAUCUGACGCUGAGGCGCGAAAGCGUGGGGAGCAAACAGG
rnacentral:rRNA from 1 species